UCGAUACAUUUCUCGCAGGUAUUGCUUUUGCUGAAAGUAUGCAGAGUGAAAUGUUACGUACAUGACAUGAUAUUAAUAACAGUAAUGGAUGUGACCAAUAAAUACCUUCCGAAGUUUCUGCUUUGUUGUGUUCAAGAAAGUAGUAACAGAAAAUGUAAAACACGUACGAAUGCCAUCCUAGUGGUGGACUGUUUUAGUAAAUAAGUUGAAAGUAUUAUUUUCGUCAAGUGUCUAGCUUCUAUAUUUCACAAUUAUUAUUAUCAAAUAUUUCUUGAUAGCAAUGAAGUCGGAGCGACUAACUUGAGAUGCACAUCUGAUGUCUCUUAUGGUCCGAAGUGUGGCCUGAAGAAGAGCCUUGUUUGAAAAAAUGGGGUACAGACUAUGAAGCUGAAGUAGGAGAGGCCAUAUAACAAGUAUCUCAUCUAGCUCUUAUACCUUACGUAAAAUACUGCAACUUUUACAGAUGUUACUUACGGUGAAAAUAUACGCACACAAGACUUU